AGUGGUGUAGCUUAGUGGUAGAGCAGCUGUCUUGGAUGUGCAAGGGCCUGGAUUUGAGCCCCAGCACCACAA
rnacentral:tRNA from 1 species